UACGGUGGGGGCAAGCGUUGUUCGGAAUUACUGGGCGUAAAGGGCUCGUAGGCGGCCAACUAAGUCAGACGUGAAAUCCCUCGGCUUAACCGGGGAACUGCGUCUGAUACUGGAUGGCUUGAGUUUAGGAGAGGGAUGCGGAAUUCCAGGUGUAGCGGUGAAAUGCGUAGAUAUCUGGAGGAACACCGGUGGCGAAGGCGGCAUCCUGGACCAACACUGACGCUGAGUGAGCGAAAGCCAGGGGAGCGAACGGG
rnacentral:rRNA from 1 species